rnacentral:rRNA from 1 species
CCAUAGCGUAUAUUAAAGUUGUUGCAGUUAAAAAGCUCGUAGUUGGAUUUCUGGUAGGAGUGACCGUUCCGAACUUGAUUGUUCGUGUAUUGUGUUUUCUCCAGCCAUCCUUGUGGAGAACUUUUCUUGCAUUAAUUUGUAGGGAUUGGGACCCGCAUCGUUUACUGUGAAAAAAUUAGAGUGUUUAAAGCAGGCAAUCGCUUGAAUACAUUAGCAUGGAAUAAUAAGAUAGGACUUUGGUACUAUUUUGUUGGUUUGCAUACCAAAUUAAUGAUCAACAGGAACAGUUUGAGGAUAUUCGUAUGAACAUGUCAGAGGUGAAAUUCUUGGAUUUUGAUCAGACGAACUACUGCGAAAGCAUUUAUCAAGGAUGUUUUCAUUAA